AGAGUUUGAUCAUGGCUCAGGAUGAACGCUAGCUACAGGCUUAACACAUGCAAGUCGAGGGGAAACGACAUCGAAAGCUUGCUUUUGAUGGGCGUCGACCGGCGCACGGGUGAGUAACGCGUAUCCAACCUGCCCAUCACUUGGGGAUAACCUUGCGAAAGUAAGACUAAUACCCAAUGACGUCUCUAGAAGACAUCUGAAGGAGAUUAAAGAUUUAUCGGUGAUGGAUGGGGAUGCGUCUGAUUAGCUUGGUUGGGCGGGGUAACGGCCACCAAGGCGACGAUCAGUAGGGGUUCUGGAGAGGAAGGUCCCCCACAUUGGAACUGAGACACGGUCCAAACUCCGUACGGGAGCA
rnacentral:rRNA from 1 species